CCGCCGGCGACCGGCGCACGGGUGAGUAACACGUAUGGAACCUGCCCGCAGCAGGGGGAUAAGCGGAAGAAAUUCCGUCUAAUACCGCGUAACAACGUUGGGAGGCAUCUCCCGAUGUUUAAAGAUUUAUCGGCUGCGGAUGGCCAUGCGGCGCAUUAGCUAGUCGGCGGGGUAACGGCCCACCGAGGCGACGAUGCGUAGGGGUUCUGAGAGGAAGGUCCCCCACACUGGUACUGAGACACGGACCAGACUCCUACGGAAGGCAGCAG
rnacentral:rRNA from 1 species